AACGUAGGUGGCGAGCGUUAUCCGGAUUUACUGGGCGUAAAGGGUGUGCAGGCGGGCUGUUAAGUGGUGUAUGAAAUAUCCCGGCUCAACCGGGAGAGGUUAUGCCAGACUGGCAGUCUAGAGAGCGAGAGAGGGACGUGGAAUUCCGGGUGUAGUGGUGAAAUGCGUAGAGAUCCGGAGGAACCCCAGAGGCGAAGGCGGCGUCCUGGCUCGCAUCUGACGCUCAGACACGACAGCGUGGGGAGCGAACGGG
rnacentral:rRNA from 1 species